rnacentral:misc_RNA from 1 species
UCAGAGCUUAGGCUCCAGAUUCUUGGGAAAGAGUGUAUUUGGGAAUGUAAAAGGAGUUUUAUUAGGAGUCACAUGUGGAGUAUAGGAUCCAUAUUCAUCCUUGCACUGUCAUCCUUGCAUCUAGUUUUUGCUUUAUGUACUUGUAUGUGAUUAUUAGUUGUAGAGAUGCUUAGUAUACUAUUUUGGAUUUUUAUAGGCUAAUGCUGUUGAAUUUCAGGAAAAAUGCGUAGGGGUAGGAGAGCUACCACAUCGCUAGAACAGGAAGUGCCAAACGAAGUAUCUGCACAAGAUGAGGCACCUGCCCCAAGGAGACGGGGCAUGAGACCUUGAGCUGCUCAAGUGGAAGAGCAGCAGCCACCAGUACAGGAACAGUCAUUUAUGGCCUAGGGUCCUAUGAAUCCAAUGACAGCCACCCUAGCUGGUCUACAGAGGACCAUUGACAUGAUGACAUAGUAUAUGGCCCAUCCUUCACAAUAGCUAUAGCCCCCAGUACAAAGAGUGGAACCUUAUAAACAAAUAAUAAAUUUCAAUAGGUUAAUGCCCAGUACUUAUGGAUACUACAGAUGAUGCAUAUCAGUUUCUAGACUCUUGCAAAUAAGCAGGAGUGGAGCUAUAGUUGACAAACAUGAGACUAAUAGAGUAUGUGUAGCAUGUGAUGGGACCUGUGCCUAGACAGUGGAUGAUGGAUUAUGUGCUCCCUCAUAUUGAAGGAUUAUCCUAUACACAAUUUGUUGAACUGUUCAUAAAUAGGUUUGUGCCAAAGAGUUUUAGAGAUCAGAAGCAGUGGGCUUUUGAGGCCUUAAGAUAGAAUGACAGAUCAAUGAAAAAGUAUGCUUCAAAGUUUUUGAAGUUGAGUAGGUACAUCCCUACUGCAAUUGCCAUAGAAAGUAUGAAGGUUAAGAGAUUUUUAAAGGGACUGAACAGGAGGUAUGCAAACUUGGCCAUUUUGUUAGACUUGAUGUGGUAGUUAAUCAGGCCCGACAUAUUGAAAUUAGUUAUAGAGGAGAUGAUGGAAGCAAAGCAAAGAAGAAUAAAGGGGAAGGGUCAUUUGGAACGCCAUACAUGGGAGGUGGCAGCCAGAGUCACCACAAUGGAAAAAGUAGAGGAAAUAAGAAAGCAGGCCUUAGACACAGAGCCAGAGGGUUCAGGUUGAGCUAUGGUUCUAGCAGUGGAUAGAGUUCAGGCUACAACAGUUCUGGAUCUGGUUCAGGAUAUUCUUUGGCACUAUGCACACAAUGUGGGAGAGUACACUUGGGGCCUUACUUGGUGAGCUACAGUGGGUGUUUCAGAUGUGGCCAGUAGGGCUACUUUGCCAGGGAAUGUCCCAUAUUCAGUGAGCAUUUGAUGGGGUCACAAGGUUCAAUUGCUAAUGUACCUCAUCAGUUACACCCUGGUACUUCCAGCAUGGCGGGCAACUAGUUCAGGGGCCAACAGGGCCAUGGUCAGGGAGGACGUGGUUUUAGAAGUUGAUCUGGAGGUAGGAGUCAACUUCAAGGUUCUGCAACUCAGGGCAGAGAUCAAGCUUGGGUUUUUACCCUGAUACACCAGGAUGCUCAGGCUUACAAUGCAGUGGUGGCAAGUAUUCUUCCAGUCUGUUUUUUUGAGACACGCGUUUUGAUAGACCAAGGUGAUAUGCAUUCAUUUAUUUCCCUUGUGUUUGCCUUAUGAUUGGAUGAGAAUCUUACAGCUCUAGAGUGUCCCUUAUCUAUAGCUACCCCUCUUAGUGACAACAUAGAUGUAGGUAUGAUUUUUCUGGAUAGCCUAGUUGUAGUUGAUGGAAAUAUCCUCCCGACAGACUUAGUUCCUUUACUGGUGAUGGAUUG